GAUGAACGCUGGCGGCGUGCCUAAUACAUGCAAGUCGAGCGAACAGACGAGGAGCUUGCUCCUCUGACGUUAGCGGCGGACGGGUGAGUAACACGUGGAUAACCUACCUAUAAGACUUGGAUAACUUCGGGAAACCGGAGCUAAUACCGGAUAAUAUAUUGAACCGCAUGGUUCAAUAGUGAAAGACGGUUUUGCUGUCACUUAUAGAUGGAUCCGCGCCGCAUUAGCUAGUUGGUAAGGUAACGGCUUACCAAGGCAACGAUGCGUAGCCGACCUGAGAGGGUGAUCGGCCACACUGGAACUGAGACACGGUCCAGACUCCUACGGGAGGCAGCAGUAGGGAAUCUUACGCAAUGGGCGAAAGCCUGACGGAGCAACGCCGCGUGAGUGAUGAAGGUCUUCGGAUCGUAAAACUCUGUUAUUAGGGAAGAACAAAUGUGUAAGUAACUAUGCACGUCUUGACGGUACCUAAUCAGAAAGCCACGGCUAACUACGUG
rnacentral:rRNA from 1 species